CCACAAAAACAUUUUCUCUUCCACACCCAACAACUAUCAAUCAUGUUCCUUCCAACAAGAAAAUCCAUAACCAUAUCCAUCAUUAUCCUCCUCCUCAAUCAAACAACAACAUUAGUCUCAUCAAAAUGCACUUGUGAUGACAAUUCAAAUGACAACAAUAAUGUUUCUGAGGCACUAAAGUACAAACUAAUAGCCAUGACAACAACACUAGUUGCUAGCAUAAUUGGUGUGUGUCUUCCAAUCAUGGCGAAGAACUACAGAUACCUUAACCCAGAGAAUGAUUUCUACUUCUUGGUGAAAUCAUUUGCUGCUGGUGUGAUCCUAGCAACAGGGUUCAUCCACAUUCUUCAUGAUGCAUUUGAGAAUCUAACAAACCCUUGUAUUGGUGAAAAGCCUUGGGGGUUGUUUCCGUUUUCUGGGUUUGUGGCAAUGCUUGCAGCAAUUGGGACACUCAUCAUGGAAGCUUUGCUUACUGGCUACCAUAAAAGGUCUGAAUUGAUGAAAGCUCAGCCUCUGGAAGAUGAGGAUGAAGAAGUUCAUCAUCACCAUCAUGGUGCUGGUGGUGGUAACGUUCUUAACCCUGCUCUUCCGUCGUCAAACAGAUUAGAUUCGCCGGAAGAUUCGCCCGAUCAUCUUCGAAAUUCUAUAGUUUCUCAGAUUUUGGAGUUAGCUAUUGUUGCGCAUUCAAUCAUUGUUGGAGUGUCUCUUGGGGUGUCCCAAAGUCCUAACACAAUCAAGCCUCUGGUAGCUGCAUUGAGUUUUCAUCAAUGCUUUGAAGGCAUGGGACUUGGUGCCUGCAUUUCCCAGGGAUGUACAAAUGAAUGGGCUGUGUGGAAAUUGAAAACAGGUAUGAUGCUUUUAGCUUCUCGCAGACCACGAGGAUCUGACAUUAUCAUCCCACACUAUGUGGGUUUCUGACUGAGAAGGAGACACUUGACUCACAGUGUCAGUUCGAUUUCAAACAGAGAGGAGGGAGAGAAGGCAUUGUGAUCCAAAAAAGAUACGAAAGGAGGAAGAGUUCUGCCAUCAACCCCGUUCCGACUUACUCUUUCGUUGGUGUUUUUGAGUCGUUUCUGGUUUUGCUCGGCCACUUUCCAUGCUGCUGGUGGAGUCACCUUUGUUGUCACUGCUGCUGCCACCGAGGGUACUGCUGUUGUUGUUGUCUCUUCCACUAUAUGUUCUUCACCAAUUCUUCCAUCUCUCCAACUCUUGAUUCCUUAUGUACCUCACAUCCUCCAAUUCUUGAA